rnacentral:lncRNA from 1 species
UGGGCCUCCUGCUCUGUGGGCCAAUCAUAUUGCCACCUUCCUGUCUCUUCGUUUUCAUGCUAGGACUUUUUUGCUCUGUUUUUUAAUACCAGUUCCCAUGUGCAGUGGAGAUUUGUGAUUUUAUUUCGUGUCCAGUGACUAGCCACUUCCUAUGAGCCAGAUUCCCACUAAAGAAGCUGAAGGUGCCAGGUACAUACUGUCAACAUGACUACCACUGUUGAUGUAACCUUGAUCAUCUGGCUGAGGAGAAAACUCUCUACUGUUUUCCAUAAUGGCUGUCCUAAUUUAUAUUCCCACUAACAGUGCAUGAGAGGUCCCUUUUCUGCACAUCUUUGCCAACACUUGUUACUUCUUCUAAAAGCCAUUAUAACAGGGCCCUGUUGCAUAGCCUCCAUACUCAUUUGUAGAAAAGAUUAAAACUAUAAAUCAUCAGAACUCAUAAACUGCCUACUUGGAGCUGAACGGCCAGCACAGCACCAGAGCUGAUGGAGAUUUAUGAUACUCAGACAGCUCCUCUCACCCAACUUCAAGAAGAUAAAGGGAAAGGAAAGCUAUCCAAUUAACUUGGUGUCCAUAGACAAUACUUAUAUAAACAGAUGGGAUUAGCUACCUGGAGGACAAAACUAGAAAUAUAAAGGAGAAGGGUACCCAAGAAGUUAAUGUGUAUUGACUGAUGUCUGUUCUACAUGUUGAAAUACCAGCUAUGUAUGAGGCUUCACUAAAGAUACAUGACUUUCCAAAAUUUUAUCCAGUCAAUAAAAAUUCAUACUAACUGCCUACUCUUCUAAUCUUUAGCUUUACUAUGCCUUAUACCACAUUCACCUAUAUAUAACUGCUGGUUGCAGUCAAAUGAUUUCUAAUUUGUCCCUUUAAUAAAAUUUCAAUGUCUUUGGGAAAAAUAUGAUUUUUACCUUAUUUGAAUAAAAAUUGUAUGUUUAG